GAUGAACGCUGGCGGCGUGCCUAACACAUGCAAGUCGAGCGAUUCUCUUCGGAGAAGAGCGGCGGACGGGUGAGUAACGCGUGGGUAACCUGCCCUGUACACACGGAUAACAUACCGAAAGGUAUGCUAAUACGAGAUAAUAUACUUUUAUCGCAUGGUAGAAGUAUCAAAGCUUUUGCGGUACAGGAUGGACCCGCGUCUGAUUAACUAGUUGGUAAGGUAACGGCUUACCAAGGCGACGAUCAGUAGCCGACCUGAGAGGGUGAUCGGCCACAUUGGAACUGAGACACGGUCCAAACUCCUACGGGAGGCAGCAGUGGGGAAUAUUGCACAAUGGGCGAAAGCCUGAUGCAGCAACGCCGCGUGAGCGAUGAAGGCCUUCGGGUCGUAAAGCUCUGUCCUCAAGGAAGAUAAUGACGGUACUUGAGGAGGAAGCCCCGGCUAACUACGUG
rnacentral:rRNA from 1 species